AAGUCUUUAUCGCUGGAGUCCGAGUCAAGUCUCGAGUCUUUGUUCACAGUCAAGAGUUGAGUCUCAAGUCAUUUAAUGCGUCACUAAAAAAAACUCCAUUCAGAAUCCUCAUGUUUUGAAAUCUUCCCAUUUACAAAGCUGUUUAGACAAACUGUAAUAUAUUAUAUUUUUAUUAAUAAUAUAUGAUAUGUCUUGUUAAUAAUGGGGCGGUUUCCCAGACAGGGUUUAAAUGAAGAUCUAACCUAGAAUAGUUAAUCAUGGUUUUAAAAAUGGCUUUCUGAAACACAGAUUAAGUACAGAUUACUAACACCUGGAGAUCUAUUUGUAAUGAAUUUAAUGCAAAUGAACACAUCUACAAGAACAAUACAACAACUUAGGGUUUUGUGGAAGAAUAUAAAAAUAAACCUCAAAAAACUGCUGCUGAAGCUCGAAGAGAGAGGUUUAAGACUGGUGGAGGACCUGCAAAUAAAGACUGACGAGUUGGAUGAGUUACUGACAGGAAUAAUGGAGAGCCAGCAGCCUUUGGAGAACAUGCAUCUGGAUAGUUCAGAUGAUGGAUCACACCUACCUACAUUAAGAGAACAGAACUGAAGAGUUGGAAGGCAGUUUACCCUCCACAUCCUCAGGAGCAAGGGUGGCAAUGUCUGCCAGUACUGGUCACCAGAAGAAAUGACUCCCUGUCCAUGAAAGGUUAUAUGGCUAAUGAAUUCCAUGAACACAAGUUGAAGUAUCUUAAGGAGAAGCAUGAAAUGAAGAUGAAGAUACUACAAGUAGAACUGGAGAUGAAGAUGAAGGAGAUAGAGCAGGCUCAAAUGUCACAUCAUUACAUGAAUCUGUGAAAUAAAUAUUGUUUUAUUAAGUCAGGAUGGUUGUUAUGAUGGUUUCAUAACAUACUAGACAAAAUAUCAUUAUACUUUUUACGUAUAUUUUAUUUGCUCAAUGUAUGUAUCAGAUCUGAGCAGAAGGUUGAAAGGUAAAUAAUGUAAAAAUAUCUAUUUAAAGUGGCACAAGCAUCUCUGUAUGCAAGUCCUUCUCUGGGGUCUGUUGUAAAUGGUGGCACAUCUGGAUUGUCAUCCUCUACUAUUGAGGGGAUCUGGGAAUCCCUGCUGUUUCAGGUAGUUGUGAAGAACAGCUGUUGCAAUGAUGACCGUGCAGCAUCUUCUUGGUUUGAAUCGGAGUGUUUUCCGAAGGCACUGAAAGCGACUCUUCCAAACACCAAACAUGCGUUCUACUAAACCCCUUGUGCGCAUAUGAGCCUGGUUGUAGCAAUUAUGGCAAUAUUAUCGGGUGCAAUUAUGGUGUAAAAAAAAAAAUUAUUCUGCGCAUACCCACUGUCACCAAGCAAUAUUCCAUAAUGAUCUCCUCUUUCAAACUGAGUAUACAGAGAUGAGUUGAGGAAAAUUCAGGAAUCAUGAGUUACACCUUUCCAACGUGCAACAAUGUUUGAAAACUGUAACUGGGGAGUGCAUACACCUUGGACAUUUAUGGAAAACCAAUUAUUUCUGUUCCUGUAUUCCUCAGCAUCUGGAGUAGAGGGACGCUUAAUGGGAAUAUGGGUUCCAUCUAUGCAACCUAUGACUCCUGGGAAAUUUCCAUAUUCAUAGAAUAGUACCUUCUAGUUAGCCCGGGUUGUAGUAUCAGGGAAGUUUAUGUAAUAUGGUCUUAAUUCACAAAUGGCCCUGCAUACUCUGUGAAUGACUUUACUUACUGUUGGUUUCUAGAUGAAAGGCACCACAUGGCAAAAACCUUAAAGUCAUGAGCACCUGGAGACAAACUGGAACAGACAGUCUUCUUUGGGUCACAGAUGAAAGCCUGAAUUCUAAAAGUGAAAUAAUCUCCACUGCAUUUACUUUAUGCAUGCGGAAAUGAUCUCGAAAAUUUACUGCAUCCAAAUGUUGCAAUGGGUCACUUCUGUCUGCAAGAACUUGUCUAGCUGGUGGUAAGCGUUAGUCUUCAUUGACAUAGUCCAAGUAAUCCAUAUGUCCUCCAAAUGACAUUAAUCUGAAGUUAAACCUGCUUCCUGGUAGGUUUAAUUUAAGCUUCAAUUUAGUCCUGAAGUAGCUCUAGUCUUCCUCCAGGAAAUCAGCCUAUUAAAUUCUGGACUAGACCAAGUCUUAGACUAUUUAAAACCAUGACAGAGAAAACAUAUUUCUGUUAAUCUGGUUUAAAGGGUCAUUUUAGUCUAGGACUAGACUUAAUCUCGGUCCGGGAAACCGCCCCAAUAUGAUCUGUGAUCUGUGAUCUGCUUGGUAAAAAAAAAAAAGGUGUUAAGAUGUAAGGUUAAUGUACAUCCAGCCUGUUACUAAUGUUUUAAGCCUUUACCAUUUUCAAAACAGUUUUUCUGUAACCAAAUUCUAUAAUAAGAGUCCGAUCUACCAUGACACAUAAAGAAAUAUGUGAAACAGAUAUUACAAAACCAUACAAAUAAAAUAUUGUUUAAUAAUAUACAAAUAAGUGACAUUUCACCAACUUUACAGGAGGGCCGAAACUAAAAUUUACCAUAGUUUGAUCUGAUUUUGUGUACUGAUUUCAAUCGUUUAUAAUAAU